UACGUAGGGGGCAAGCGUUGUCCGGAAUCAUUGGGCGUAAAGCGCGUGUAGGCGGUCCGGUAAAUCGGUUGUGAAAGUCCAGGGCUCAACCCUGGGAUGCCGACCGAUACUGUCGGACUAGAGUUCGGAAGAGGCGAGUGGAAUUCCCGGUGUAGCGGUGAAAUGCGCAGAUAUCGGGAGGAACACCAAUGGCGAAGGCAGCUCGCUGGGACGUUACUGACGCUGAGACGCGAAAGCGUGGGGAGCAAACAGG
rnacentral:rRNA from 1 species